UCUUGCGCAAUGCGCGAAAGCGUGACGCAGCAACGCCGCGUGGGGGAAGAAGGCCUUCGGGUUGUAAACCCCUUUCAGGAGGGACGAAGCUCGGGCGGUGAACAGCCGACCCGGGUGACGGUCCCUCCCCAAGAAGCCCCGGCUAACUACGUGCCAGCAGCCGCGGUAAUACGUAGGGGGCAAGCGUUGUCCGGAAUCAUUGGGCGUAAAGCGCGUGUAGGCGGUCCGAUCAGUCGGCUGUGAAAGUCCAGGGCUCAACCCUGGGAUGCCGGUCGAUACUGUCGGGCUAGAGUCCGGAAGAGGCGAGUGGAAUUCCCGGUGUAGCGGUGAAAUGCGCAGAUAUCGGGAGGAACACCAAUGGCGAAGGCAGCUCGCUGGGACGGUACUGACGCUGAGACGCGAAAGCGUGGGGAGCAAAC
rnacentral:rRNA from 1 species